UGCACUGCCCUCCCUGUGACUAAAGCCUCCUGCCCCCACCAUCUGGUAUGUUUGCUCUUCAAUUUGGGACAAAGGUCCCUGUGCUCAAGGGUUCCUCCUGCUUGGCACAAGCAAUGCUCUGAGGAUAACACAGCCAGGCUUCCCUUGAACAGAAACAGCUCCCUUCCCCACCUUCCUCAGCCCCAAUCUCCAGGACAGAAAAUCUGAUGAUUCUCAGGAGAUGAGGAAACAUGCUUCAGCAUUCCAAAUUCCUCCUUGACUUCUGCAGGAGUCAACAAUCAGGACCCUGUGCCUUCUACUCUACCACCUGCCUCCUUCAGAAAGACCGGACCCUAUCCCUUCCUGAAGACAGGCAGCUGCAGAACUGCUGGGCCCAACACUCUGGCUUCCCACAUGUGCUCAUAGGUAGGGCUUACCCAGGGUAGGGAAACUGAGUCCCUUUUGGGGUCACAUCUUUCCCUGGGUGCCCUUCUAGUGUCCAAGCAGCAAAAGAAGGAAGGAAGAAAAAAAGAAGACAUCAUUAAUCGAAAUAAAAGAUGAGGCAGUUCAAGGAAGAAAGUGCUGAAGGAGCCAGUGAGUCCUAUUAGCUGCUAUAAUUAUCCAAGAGGAAGAUGGAAAUUUUCUCCUAAGGAGUUUAAAUUACUGGCCUCCUUCACCAAGUGCUAGACACAAAGCCUCUGUGUUAUCUCCUUUAACCCUCUCCAACAACUCAAUGAGGCCAGGAAGCAAACCCACUGCCGCCACUUAUUCACUCAACACUGAUUUAUGAAGUGUCA